CUUUCUGGAGCCAAGAGUCAAGAAACGUCCCCUUGGACCUGGCCCAGGGCACAUCUUCGGUUACCCUUGUCCUGAAGGCUGAGGACGAACCAUUCGUGGUGCAGCCCGUCAGGGAAAGCUGUCUCAUUGCUGCCUUAUAGGUGGCACCUUUGGAGUCCUCAGGUAUUCAAACGAGGGAUUUGUAUACGGAGAAGGCGGCGCAGGGAAAGAGGAUUUUCCAGUGGCAGCCGCUAGUUCAGAGGCCCUGUGCCCUGCACUGGCUGUUGUCAGGAAAGACUGAGUGGCAGUUCUAAUUACCGGUGUCUACACGUGUUCCUCAUAGGAAGAUACAAGCUGUCACGAUCCCUUGCCAAUCACAUGAGAGCUGACCUAGAGAGAACAUCAACUGAAGGUUUGUCCCCCCUGGAAAGUGAAGGGUCAAAAAGUCCCCCAAUAUUUCUGCACUCCACACUGGGAGGAAAAUGAACUGCCUGGGUGUCGGAUGGAUGUUGUCCCGGGUCACCCCAAAAUCCCAACCUGC